UAUUUCUGAAUGGCCGUGUUUCCCUACCUCAUGUCCCCGUGAGAGGAGAGAUAUCUGUAUUCUGGCUGUGCAAAAAAGUCCUCCGAUGACGCAAAAUGAUGAUUUUUGCGUCAUCGGAGGAGAUUUUGGCCAGAGGCAAAGACUACAGCCAGUAUUAGGAGCUACUUCCGCAUGUUUUUUUCCCCGCCCAUAGGGGUUGGACUGCGAGUCCAUUCGGAAAAGCCCGAAUCAAAACGAGAGUCAGCCAUCUUUAAUCUUCGCUAAGCUAAGCUAGCCUGGAUCUUGCUUUGUGGAGAAAGCAGAGUAAACAAACCACGACGGCAGAGUGUAGUUUUGAAAACGGAUGGCAGAAGGGGAUUUUGUUGCUCAGGAUGACCUGUUGCUCGAAUCUGAUGGUCGUGGUACCUGUACGAGCCGCAAUACAACGAGGAACAGUUAUGGAUGAUCGAGGAACAAGAGGCUGCCACCGCGGCUGCUGUAGCCGAGGUGGUGCCGGUCUGGUGGUGUGAGCGCUCUCGCUGUGCGCCUAUAGACACCGAAAGAGAAUCAUAAUGCUUUCGCGAAUUUCAGCGAUGGCAUUUUCUUCUUGAACCCCGCAAGGAGAAACGGAGGCAUGAGUAUAAAACAAUCGACUUACAUCCUAUCAUCAUUUCUUGGAAUGAGUUUUGCAAGGCGAAAGACUGGGGAAAGGAAAUCGACUUGUUUUACCUGCCUGUGUUCGUUGUCCAGGACAUCAGACGUAGAUAUCCAGCUCCUCACGGACAUUAUAGCGACUAUAAAUAAACGGAUGAAGCUCUGGAUGAGCUAUAAGUGUGAAUUGUUUAUGUUUUUUAAUAAAAAGUUAAAACUCACAUUGAUUGUGGUUCGUGUUAUAGUCCUUAUUGCUGCUACAUUAGAGUGACUGCAAUUUGAGGAAAGCAUUCUUGCCUUUUUUUAAAAGUUUAAGUCUAAAUUGUGUAACAAACAUAAUAUUUGGCUUUAUUUUUAACCCAAAUGACUUUGUAAAGUAAGUAAUGACAGCUAAAUCACAGUAACAGUAAUCAUUGCGCCUCUACAAGUCUAUAAUGUAUAAAUUUGGUGUACAAAAGACAGGGUUAGAUGAAGAUAUUUAUUUUUUAUUAUUCACAAAGGAAAAAUAUUGUGUCACCAGUGAAAAGAACACAUUAAAAUAAACAAUGACAUAAUUUACAUCUAAAAAUGUCCUGCACAAAAUAAAAACAAAGCAAAAAUAUAUACAAAAACAUUGUGUAUAUAUACACACAGUAUAUAAUAAUAUAAAUAUAAAGAGUGGUGGCAGAAUCUGAUUAGACACAGCAAUAGGACUCAGGGAAGAGGUGAUUAUUAUUAUUAUUAGAAAGUGUCAGUCUCAGAAGCGACUUUUGAAAGAAGUCGUGGCAGCCUCCUUUGAUGGUUUAGGCACUGGUGCAAUGUUGGGUGGCAGCGCAGGCUGUGGCAGGGCAAGUGAGGACGUUGGCACUUUGAACACAAUGUUUGGAUUGAGUCUUGUCAAUGGCCUUCUGGAUGAGUUCGUCUACAAACUGUGUGGUGUGUGGUAUGAAGCUUUUCUUCAAGACCCACUGCUUGGAUCUCUUGCAGAACAUUUGGUUGAACCGUGCUUCUCCUGUAA